rnacentral:ncRNA from 1 species
GCAGAGUAGGAUACGGCGCGUAUGAGUGCCUUGAGGAUGGGAAGUUGCCUCGGGACGAAGAGCAGCCCAACGAGACUGCCGCGGUGCCGUACCCGCGUCCGCUGC